UCGUCGACGAAGAUUAGCACAAAAGUUAUGGCAUACAAUGUUUAUAAUUAUGAAUACAUAUUUGCUUGCAUUUGGACAAAUAAUUGCAAUGCAAAGUUGUAGACGAUCUCCGCGAAUAUGGAUGAAAGCCAGAAGUUCUGACUUUUGGGAAAGAAUAGUAUUGACAGAAUAUUUAGAUGAAGACUGGCUUGAAACCUUCAGGAUAAAAAAAUCUGUAUUUGAUUACAUAUGUGACAAACUAUAUAAUAGAUUACAACCCGCAAUACCAUUCUUGGUAGCUAGAGUGCCAAUUUCUGUUGAAAAGGCAAUUGCAGUCACCAUAUUCUACCUGGCAAGCUGCUGUGAAUACAGAGUUGUUGGUCACUUGUUUGGAAUUCACAAGACAUCAGUAUGGAGAUGCGUCCACAAAGUUGUCGAAGCAAUAAAUGACAUACUACAACCAUUGUGGAUCAAGAUGCCUAAUGAAUUUGAAUGUACGAUGAUUGCUCAGAUGUACGAGGAACGUACACAUAUCCCACAACUUAUUGGAGCUAUUGAUGGCACUCACAUUCCCGUGUUACCACCUGCAGAUGGGUAUAGAGACUACAUCAAUCGAAAGGGAUGGCCGUCAAUAGUAUUACAAGGAGUAGUUGAUCAUACACAAAGAUUUAGAAAUAUUAAUUGCAAAGCACCUGGGUCGGCACACGAUGCAGCAGUCUUUAAAGAGUCAAAUUUGUUUCGACACUACAAACAUUUAAUACCGCAGAAAACAGUGACACUAAAUGGUGCAGCAAUACCUUUUAUGAUAAUGGGAGAUCCAGCAUAUCCUCUGCUCUCAUGGCUGCUGAAAGGAUAUACUAAAUGUAGACGUCUUACGCCAGAAGAAGAAUCAUUCAAUGUUUAUUUAAGCACUGGACGUGUGGACAUAGAAAUAGCAUUUGGACGCUUAAAAGCGCGGUGGCGUCGCAUUUUAAAAAGAAUUGACGUCCAUUAUUCUUUUGCGCCCCAAGUCGUAGCUGCUUGCUGUGUGCUUCAUAACAUUGUGGAAUCUCACAAGCAAGAAUUCAAACAUACAUGGAUGAGAGAUAUCGAUGAAUCUGAUGUACUGUUUCCACAACCAGAAGGAACAAGAUCACGUGAAUAUGGAUGAUUUGGAUGCAUCGAACAUUAGAAAGGUCCUCAUGAAUCACUUAUCACAAUUUCCACUACGGAGAUCAUUUUGCUGAUAUACGGGGCAAGAAACAUAAAAUCUUUGGUAACUCGUAUGAAACGAAUAAACGAAGGUAACUCGUAAGAAACAAAUAAAAUGCGUAAUAAUAAUAAGUAAAAAUAAUAUGCACAAAACAAAAAUAAUCUUAGUUCUUAAAAAAUAUGUAAUAAUUCUCGUAUUUGUACUUAGCAAUUGCACUUCUUUAAAUUGCUGAUUAUUUCAGUCACUUUGAGCACCAUCUAAAUAUUUUGUCUGUUUAUCCUUAGAACAAAUCUUAACAUUAUUAUUAAUUUUUUUGUAGAACAUAAAAUCUUUGGUAACUCAUAUGAAACGAAUAAACGAAGAUAACUCGUAAGAAAUGAAUAAAAUGCGUAAUAAUAAGUACAAAUAAUAUGCACAAAACAAAAAUAAUCCUAGUUCUUAAAAAAUAUCUAAUAAUUCUCGUAUUUGUACUUAGCAAUUGCACUGCUUUACACUGC